UCGUGAAAUCUCACGGCUUAACUGUGAGCGUGCGGGCGAUACGGGCAGACUUGAGUACUGCAGGGGAGACUGGAAUUCCUGGUGUAGCGGUGGAAUGCGCAGAUAUCAGGAGGAACACCGGUGGCGAAGGCGGGUCUCUGGGCAGUAACUGACGCUGAGGAGCGAAAGCGUGGGGAGCGAACAGGAUUAGAUACCCUGGUAGUCCACGCCGUAAACGGUGGGUACUAGGUGUGGGUUUCCUUCCUUGGGAUCCGUGCCGUAGCUAACGCAUUAAGUACCCCGCCUGGGGAGUACGGCCGCAAGGCUAAAACUCAAAGAAAUUGACGGGGGCCCGCACAAGCGGCGGAGCAUGUGGAUUAAUUCGAUGCAACGCGAAGAACCUUACCUGGGUUUGACAUGCACAGGACGCCGGCAGAGAUGUCGGUUCCCUUGUGGCCUGUGUGCAGGUGGUGCAUGGCUGUCGUCAGCUCGUGUCGUGAGAUGUUGGGUUAAGUCCCGCAACGAGCGCAACCCUUGUCUCAUGUUGCCAGCUGGUAAUGCCGGGGACUCGUGAGAGACUGCCGGGGUCAACUCGGAGGAAGGUGGGGAUGACGUCAAGUCAUCAUGCCCCUUAUGUCCAGGGCUUCACACAUGCUACAAUGGCCGGUACAAAGGGCUGCGAUGCCGCGAGGUUAAGCGAAUCCUUUUAAAGCCGGUCUCAGUUCGGAUCGGGGUCUGCAACUCGACCCCGUGAAGUCGGA
rnacentral:rRNA from 1 species